AUGCAUUGAAAACCCUAAUGCCCAAAAACCAUUGACUAUAAUAAUCAAAGUAUAAUAAAUUAAUCUUGGGUAAAAAGAAUACCUGUAGCACUAAUCUCAAUUUUCAUGAGGCAUCCAAGUGUCUACCAUCCAAUGAUGAUCCACACGAAAAUUAAGCCAAAGACAACACUCCUUCACCUUGCUUCAAAAGUUCUAGCCCCUAUAACUUGACUAGCCCUGUACCGGACAGAUUUCUCCAAGAACCUGACACAACCCUCUAAGAUCCUCCUCUGAACUUUUGAUUUUCCUUCUUUAGAACCCUCAAAACCCUUGUUAGGACCAGAUAAGGCUUUGUCUUAAAUUUCAAAGCCUCGUCCUAAAACUAAGAUAGGUUGCAAGAA
rnacentral:lncRNA from 1 species